GAUGAACGCUGGCGGCGUGCUUAACACAUGCAAGUCGAACGGGAAACCUUUUAUUGAAGCUUCGGCAGAUUUAGCUGGUUUCUAGUGGCGGACGGGUGAGUAACGCGUGGGUAACCUGCCCUAUACAGGGGGAUAACAACCAGAAAUGGUUGCUAAUACCGCAUAAGCGCACAGGACCGCAUGGUCUGGUGUGAAAAACUCCGGUGGUAUAGGAUGGACCCGCGUUGGAUUAGCCAGUUGGCAGGGUAACGGCCUACCAAAGCGACGAUCCAUAGCCGGCCUGAGAGGGUGAACGGCCACAUUGGGACUGAGACACGGCCCAGACUCCUACGGGAGGCAGCAGUGGGGAAUAUUGCACAAUGGGGGAAACCCUGAUGCAGCGACGCCGCGUGAAGGAAGAAGUAUCUCGGUAUGUAAACUUCUAUCAGCAGGGAAGAUAGUGACGGU
rnacentral:rRNA from 1 species